rnacentral:rRNA from 1 species
AUUGAACGCUGGCGGCAGGCCUAACACAUGCAAGUCGAGCGGAUGAAGGGAGCUUGCUCCUGGAUUCAGCGGCGGACGGGUGUGUAAUGCCUAGGAAUCUGCCUGGUAGUGGGGGAUAACGUCUGGAAACGGGCGCUAAUACCGCAUACGUCCUGCGGGAGCAAGUGGGGGGUCUUCGGACCUCACGCUAUCAGAUGAGCCUAGGUCGGAUUAGUUAGUUGGUGGGGUAAAGGCCUACCAAGGAGACGAUCCGUAACUGGUCUGAGAGGAUGAUCAGUCACACUGGAACUGAGACACGGUCCAUACUCCUACGGGAGGCAGCAGUGGGGAAUAUUGGACAGUGGGCGAAAGCCUGAUCCAGCCAGGCCGCGUGUGUGAAGAAGGUCUUCGGAUUGUAAAGCACGUUAAGUUGUGAGGAAGGGCAGUAAGUUAAGACCUUGCUGUUUUGACGUUACCAACAGAAUAAGCACCGGCUAACUUCGUG